UUCGGAAUGUUUUGAUUACGGGUCGCUCGCGUUGUUGGAACAUUUGAAUUCUGUUUUCACCUGGUGGUACCAAUCAGACAGAACGGACCGCUGUACACGAUCGUUGGUUCUUCCCAAGCUGGAUGGCGGUUUCGAAUGUUCUAGAGGAAUCCUGUCGGGGGAUCACCCGCUCGGGAUGACGAUCUAGGUGUGUACUGUUUGACCUUGUGCUGCUGUUUAUCGUAGACGCCCCGUUCGCGUUCCACCACUCAUUAAGACAUUGCCAUAGUUAGCACAGCUUCCGACGUGUGAUCCGGAGGGAUGAGAAUGCUGCUGUUCGUUCUUUCUACUGCUGCAACCGCUGUUUCUCUACGUCGUCAAAGUCAUCUUUGAAGAUUCCAAUACUAGCAGCAAGCGGCGGAGGAGGAGGACACAGAAUGGCCAACACGUUGAGUGACCACAACGAAGGCCAACACUCUUCUCUUCCCCUUCUGGUGCGUAGAAAUCUAUUCGGAAGGGCUGCAUUGAAACCAUCAAAACAGAAUCCUGAUUUCGGAACAUUUGGAUUCUGAAAAAAUUCAUCGAAUUCAUUCGAGUGAAAAAUACUCUGCAGCUAUAGGUGUUGCGCGUAAAAAUGUCUCCUGUCGAAAGCUCAAUUGAAAUUUGGACAGAAAUUCCGUAUCAGAAAUUGUAGUUAGGAUCAGGAUUGUGCCUAGUAUUGAUACCUAACUGAUUGACACGAAAAUGUGAACUUUUUCCUGCAAGUGCAACAGCAACAGUAGCUAACAUCAAGGGAAAGUGGCAUUCCUUCUCUAGAGACACCGGCUUUACUUCAGACGAAAUAUUUGCUCGGAUUUCCGAAUGUGAUACUGUGAUCAGUGGUGAUACUACAGGGGCAUGGACUACGUAGAAAUCUAUCUAUUCGUCUAGGAAAACCGUUGGAACCAGCGGACAACCCAAAUUAAGACCCGAAGUACUAAGAUGACACUUUAAUCGACCAUCAACGGCAGCGCUGAUGACAAAUAAAACCGGUUUCUCCCAAUAGCAGUUCUAUUUCCAGUAAGCUGCUCUGGUGUUGGCUCUGAAAGAUGUCUAAUUGUUAUCCAUACAGCCUAGCCAACGUAAGGAGUAAGCGGAAAAUUGAUAAUAUGUGCGAGAAAAGAAACCAGCUGGUCUCGGAGCGGGGGUCGAAUGUACUUUGCCUCCUUGACGCAGUACAAGAAAAGCCAAACGCUUGUGUCUGGAAUGCCGAUAUACGAAAGUGCAUUGCGGAAUCAAUUUAAUUUGUGUUGUUUUAUAAAAAUAGAAUACAUGAUUUAAGCCAAUCAAUUCUAAUUUUUAAUAUAUAUCGGGAAAAGAAAUC